rnacentral:lncRNA from 1 species
CGGGGGGCGGGAACAGGGAGGCAAGGCAAGGGCCGGUCUUAUUGUGUAUUAUUGCUCUAUCACUUCCACACAGAGCUCCGAGGGACUGGUGCACCUUGGAUAUAUUCACUCAGAUACAAGUGCAAGCCAUCAGAACUGCACAGGAUUCAUUGGUCUCCCACCGUCCAUGCUACUUGUCCAGAUACAUGCACUGGGGUAAACGAUGGAGUUCAAGUUCAGCACGUGAAGCCCUGAGUUCAAUCUGCUGCACUGCAAGAUAAAAGAAGGGAAUCGAUGAAAUACUUGAUAAACAAAGC